UACGGGGGGAGCAAACGUUGUUCGGAAUCACUGGGCGUAAAGGCGUGUAGGCGGCUGAAUAAGUGGGGUGUUAAAUCUCCCGGCUCAACCGGGAAACUGCACUUCAUACUGUUCAGCUUGGGUACAGCAGAGGAGACUGGAAUUCCCGGUGUAGCGGUGAAAUGCUUAGAUAUCGUCAAGAACACCUAUAGCGAAGGCAGCUUACUAGGCUGUAACUGACGCUGAGGCACGAAAGUGUGGGGAUCAAACAGG
rnacentral:rRNA from 1 species